UGUAUUUAUAAAUGACGUAAACCGUGAAGUGACAGAGAAAACUGAAAAAAAUGUUUGCACAGAUCCCACAGGGACAAACAGAUUCUAAUAAUCCUGUUCUUUAUGAGGAAGUGAAACUUUCAAAGUCUGCCAGAGAAAGAGAAAAAUAUGACAACAUGGCUGAAUUAUACGCUGUGAUAAACACACUACAAAGUUUAGAGAAAGCCUACAUAAAAGAUGCUGUUCAGCCCAGAGAGUACACUGGUGCAUGCUCAAAGCUCUUGGUGCAAUAUAAAGCAGCAUUCAAACUUGUUCAGGGAGAUUUUUCAACAGUAGAACAAUUCAUGAAAAAAUACAGGUUGGACUGUUCUGCUGCUUUGGAAAGAAUAAAAGAGGAUCGACCAAUCACAAUCAAAGAUGGGAUUAGCCAAGGCAACACAAGUAAAGCUAUCGCAGAUAUUGUGUCGCUGUUUAUCACAGUAAUGGACACUCUAAGAUUAGAAAUCAGAGCUAUGGACAAGGUAAGGUUUGAUUAUUCAUGACUACUUGUUUGACUCCAGUAAAUCAAAGUACUGAAAGCAUUGAAAAUAGCAAUCAUAUCAAGAAACACCUAUCACACUCCUUUGAAUCUGGAAUGAGUUUCUAAGAAAGUAUUUUGAAUAUGAUUUAAUCUGAUAAAAAAAUAAUUAUCAAAGAUAAGAAUUAUCAUUGUUGCAAGUUAUUAUGGAAACUUAAUGUUAUUUUUUUUGUCCGAUAGCUUGGGUUGGAUGGGAAAUCAUUGUAUGACAUGUUAGCUAUGCUAAACAUGUUAUUUGACUUUAUAGGGAUUUAAAUAGGUACAUAAAAAUUGUACUAAGAGUAUUCUUUAAUGUAUAUGUGCUCUUGAAGUCUACUAGAUUGAACAUUCUAAUCUAACCUAAUGUUCUAUUCUAUUUAGCUUCAACCUGAUCUGAAAGAAUUAAUGGAAACCAUGAACAGAUUAAGUAUAUUACCCAGAGACUUUGAAGGCACUCAGAAAGUUAAAAAAUGGUUGGACAUAUUUGAUGAGAUGUCUGCCUCGGAGGAACUGGAUGAUAACCAAGUGCGACAGAUUCUGUUUGAUUUGGACAGUGCUUACAAUGCCUUCAACCGCAUACUGCACGACAACUGAAACACCAGCUGGAAUAUGAAUGUUGUUCUCUGCGUGACUCAAGAUCUUGAUUUUCUCAUUCGUCUUUUAGCCAGCCAUUUAAAUUUGGCUAAAUUUUAACAUAUUGUCAUGACCCACAUCUGUACGGUCAGUUUAUAGAGAGUACAGUUUUGUUGACAUCAUAAUGAAAAGUACAGUGCUAGAUUUCAUUACGUGUGCUGAUUGAUUGGAAGCAAUGUUCACGAAAAUGGCUAAGCUUUUUGGAACAAAAAUAUACAUUUAGAAUAAAAAUGUUUUAGUACAAUGUACUACUAUCAGUAGUAAAAUAUUGAUGAAAUUUUAUGUUAUAUCUGAAUGCUGACCCAGUACAUGUGUAAUAUUGUGAUUUCUUCUUGCUCUGUUUUGAUGGUGGAAAAGGGACCUUCCAAUGAUAUGUGCAUUAAUUUUGCAUUAUGGUUUCAAUCAAUCAUAGUUUGAUUGAUUUGUAUCAACUAAACACAGAUAUUCCUAAUCUUUACUUCAUGAAUUAUGAAUUAAACAAAAAAAUAUAAAUGCUCACAAUUGACUUCGAGAAAUUCACAUCCAGGAGUUGGGAAAACAUAGGUAUUCAGGGCAAAAAUAAAAUGGGAUCAAAUGUAACUCGGCUAUUAUAGAGUAAAAUGUUAUGUACCGGUACACAUUUAAUGAUGAAAUAUUUAAAUAUUUCUAUCACCCGAUGCUUGCUCAGCAAAGCAGGUGCACUUGAGUGCUCACCCAAAUUUCAUAUCCCUCCAGUAUAAAUGUUGGGAGUGUGCUUGUGCUCUACUGAACGUGCCUCUACCAUAAAACAGGCUGGGUGGUGAACAUUAUAAAGUUAUCUAUCAGACCCACCAAGAAAAUUUUGAUGCAUGAUUUUUGAUGCCCAAAUGAAAAAAAAACCCCAAAUUUUUAAGCUAUAAAAUGUGAAUACACCUCUUCAUUUCCAGGAGUUUUAAUACAUACUGUAUAUAUGUAGAAAAGCUCAAUAUAGUCAAGACCAUCCAUCCUUUCAAAAAUUAAUUAAAAACCCAGCAAGAUUUGUCUGAUCUCUGUUUUAUGUUUGUAUUUGUAAUGAAUAAAAAGGUAACACA
rnacentral:misc_RNA from 1 species